AGUGAACGCUGGCGGCAGGCUUAACACAUGCAAGUCGAACGGCAGCACAGUAAGAGCUUGCUCUUACGGGUGGCGAGUGGCGGACGGGUGAGGAACACAUCGGAAUCUACUUUUUCGCGGGGGAUAACGUAGGGAAACUUCCGCUAAUACCGCAUACUACCUACGGGUGAAAGCACGGGAUCUUCGGACCUUGCGCGGUUGAAUGAGCCGAUGUCGGGUUAGCUAGUUGGCGGGGUAAAGGCCCACCAAGGCGACGAUCCGUAGCUGGUGUGACAGGAUGAUCAGGCACACUGGAACUGAGACACGGUCCAGACUCGUACGGGAGGCAGCAGUGGGGAAUGUUGGACAAUGGGCGCAAGCCUGAUCCAGCCAUGCCGCGUGGGGGAAGAAGGCCUUCGGGUUGUAAAGCCCUUUUGUUGGGAAAGAAAAGCAGCAGGUUAAUACCCCGCGGUUCUGACGGUACCGAAAGAAUAAGCACCGGCUAACUUCGUG
rnacentral:rRNA from 1 species